GACGAACGCUGGCGGCGUGCCUAAUACAUGCAAGUUGAGCGCUGAAGGUUGGUCCUUGUACCAACUGGAUGAGCAGCGAACGGGUGAGUAACGCGUGGGGAAUCUGCCUUUGAGCGGGGGACAACAUUUGGAAACGAAUGCUAAUACCGCAUAAAAACUUUAAACACAAGUUUUAAGUUUGAAAGAUGCAAUUGCAUCGCUCAAAGAUGAUCCCGCGUUGUAUUAGCUAGUUGGUGAGGUAAAGGCUCACCAAGGCGAUGAUACAUAGCCGACCUGAGAGGGUGAUCGGCCACAUUGGGACUGAGACACGGCCCAAACUCCUACGGGAGGCAGCAGUAGGGAAUCUUCGGCAAUGGACGAAAGUCUGACCGAGCAACGCCGCGUGAGUGAAGAAGGUUUUCGGAUCGUAAAACUCUGUUGGUAGAGAAGAACGUUGGUGAGAGUGGAAAGCUCAUCAAGUGACGGUAACUACCCAGAAAGGGACGGCUAACUACGUG
rnacentral:rRNA from 1 species